rnacentral:tRNA from 1 species
GUCUCCUUCGUCUAGCGGUUAGGACACCGGGUUUUCAUCCCGGCAACAGGGGUUCGAUUCCCCUAGGAGAUG